rnacentral:rRNA from 1 species
UACGUAGGGGGCUAGCGUUGUCCGGAUUUAUUGGGCGUAAAGAGCGUGUAGGCGGCUCGAUAAGUCCGCUGUGAAAGUCCAGGGCUCAACCCUGGAAGGCCGGUGGAAACUGUCGGGCUAGAGUCCGGAAGAGGCGAGUGGAAUUCCCGGUGUAGCGGUGAAAUGCGCAGAUAUCGGGAGGAACACCAAUGGCGAAGGCAGCUCGCUGGGACGGUACUGACGCUGAGACGCGAAAGCGUGGGGAGCAAACAGG